rnacentral:rRNA from 1 species
UACGUAGGGGGCGAGCGUUGUCCGGAUUUAUUGGGCGUAAAGAGCGUGUAGGCGGCCAGGUAGGUCUGCUGUGAAAACUCAGGGCUUAACCCUGAGCUUGCAGUGGGUACGGGCAGACUAGAGUGCGGUAGGGGAGACUGGAAUUCCUGGUGUAGCGGUGGAAUGCGCAGAUAUCAGGAGGAACACCGGUGGCGAAGGCGGGGGUCCUGGGCCAUUACUGACGCUGAGGAGCGAAAGCGUGGGGAGCGAACAGG